rnacentral:tmRNA from 1 species
GGGGGCGCCAGGUUUCGACAUCCUGGCUGAACCUCGUUAUUGCAUGCCGAGGUGCCGCAGGCCUCGUAAAAAGCGGCAAUCCAGAAACGCAGCGUAAAAAACUCGUUGGCUGACUGAAAGCCCGUCCUCCCGUUUGUUUUCCCGUGACAGCGGAGCAGGGCGUCUAUGAGCGGGAUGGCGGUGAAAGCUUUUCGCACGGCUGAAACCGCGAGACUCAGUGCGGAACAGUGCGGGGAUCCUGCUGCCGGGAGCCGCAGCACUUAUCAAAACGGACAGCUAAGCAUGUAGACGUUUCGUCGUUCCACAGGUUGGACGCGGGUUCGAUUCCCGCCGCCUCCACCA